CGCUAUCUGAUUCUUGGCAGAGAUGAACCCAAAACAGGACCGAAACUGACCAGUCAUCAUCACCGCCUUGCUGUUGUUGUUCCGCGUUGUUGCGUCAGUUAUAAAAGGAACGCGCCUGCAACACGUGGUGGCAGUCAAGCAGAUCCUUGUCCCCUUCGUUUCAAAUUCUGUCUUGGUGCGUCCUCUCGCGUAUAAUGGGGACUAGGGUGCCGAGCGCCGGAAUGGUGUGGGGUCUUGGGGAGCAUCAACAUCAGGUCAACAAGACUACUGGAGGAAGAACGUUCGUUCUAAGGUGCAGUGCUGUAAGUGACACAUUGUUUAAUCAUGAAUAAAUACAACCAAUAAAGCAUUUACAGAAA